rnacentral:misc_RNA from 1 species
UCAAACUUGGUCAUUUAGAGGAAGUAAAAGUCGUAACAAGGUUUCCGUAGGUGAACCUGCGGAAGGAUCAUUACAAAAUCAACAACCUUUACACUACCCUGUGCCACUGUUGCCCUGCGGGUGCCUCCCUCGGGGGGCGCCGGGGGCCCGUCGAGGCCGUCGGUGGGGGCUGCUCGUUCUCGAGAGGCGGGCGUCUGCCUGCCUGCCGGGGGCGGGGGUCCAGGCCGCCGGUCGCGACGUUAAAGAUCCUGGGAUGGAUGCGCUGGAUGACGGAUGGAUCGCUGGGCCUCCUCGCGGGGGUCCGGCACACACUAACCAAGACCACUUUUAACAAUGGAUCUCUUGGCUCCCGCAUCGAUGAAGAACGCAGC